AUGUCACCUGGCUCUUCUCUGACUACCAUGUCAGUGAAAUACUUUUACAUGUCAAAUGUGAAAUGUACGAGAGACUAUCUGGAGUAGUACUUAUUACAGAGUUCUUCGGACUUCACAGAUUCCAGCAGUAGCUCUCUCAGCUCCUGCCCUGCACAGCUUUGAAGUGCUGAUGAAGAAAAUCUUCCCCUCAUUCCUGGUGGUCAGAGCUGGAUAAAAUAUCCACCCUUCAACCAAUAUCAGACAAGUGACACAGAUCAGAGUAAACAGAACAUGCUGACAGACUGGAUGUGGAGCAUGAGAAGAAAUGGAGAGGACCAAGGAUGACCUGGAUUUCUGGCUUACGCAACUGCGUGGAAGUUGCUGCAGCUCCUGGUGGUGUAACAUCGUUCCAGGCAGGAAGAAAGUAAAUGGUGAGCAACCCCCUGGACCUGAGUGAGUUAGUGCCAACUAUUGGAGGGUGAGGUCCGUUUCUUUCUGGAAGCAAGGAGAAGAGGGAGAAGGAAAAGAAGGAAGAAGGGAGAAAGAAGAAUGAUGAGAAGCCAACCAGCCAGGAAAGCUAGAGGUGAUGUCAUUGAACUCUUAAGUGCAAGAUGAAACAAGUCUUCCUAGCGUUCCAAGUAGGUUAAAAAGAAGAAGUAACAGAUGAUCAUUUAUACUCCUCUUGCUUCACUCUGAAGAAUUCUUUCUUCUCCUCAUCCAUGCCUUAGCCAAAAGCUACAAAUGAAAGAAAAUUUCAACCCCAUGUAAAUUUUUUGGAACACCGUACCAUAUUGGUGGACCUGAUACAGUUUCGAAGCAUUAGGUCCUUGUUAAGAACAAUUCAUUAAUAUUUUUCUAUUGGAUCAGACUUACAGAUAAGGUCUGCUUCUAAUGAUGUCAUCCAGAUGAAGAACUGCAACCUAGAGAAGAUGGAAAUGACUUGUCCAUUUUGUGUUUGGCCUCUCCAUGGGGGUUUUGCAGGGGAGCCCUGCCCUUGCAAACUGCCAGGUAUAUUCUGGACACGCCAGUCAUGAAUCUAGACUGGGAGGGAAGAAUGAUCACCAAUUUUUGCCAUCUUGAGGGGUAAGAGUGCCAUGAUUUGGAGUCUCAUUGAGAGAUUAAUAUGGGAAGCUGACUACCCAGAAGAAGUUCUAGGAUCAUAUACACACAAACGUUUAUAUAUAUACACACACAUAUGUAUAGACAUGUAAAAAUAUAUACCUGUUCUGAUUUGUUAAAAUCCUUUGAUUUUACUGUUGAGAUUAGAGAUAGAAAUAUUAAAAUGAAAGUAAACCAAAUUAAAAUUUCCAAAUUCCCUGGUAAAAGUUGACUUGUAACAUGAUGAAAGGGGAUAUUCAGAUAAGAUUUUAGAAUACCUUCUCUAGAACUAAAAAACAAAGCAAAACAAAAUAAAACAGUACCUCUCAAAAACUCCUUUGAAGCAGGUGUUCUUGUCAAAUACUAAAGCUAUGACCAAGUAUUUCAGUGUAUGAGGAUUCAGAAAUAUAUAUAUAUGAAUAUAUAUUUAAAUGUUUCUUUAUAUGCUUUGUUUUUCUCAUAGCUUAGUUGUGUGUGUGUGUGUGUGCGCGCGCGCGCACGCAAGUGUGUUUUUCUACCACUUUAUUCGGUAAAUAUGUCCCACGGAAACAAAAUCUGCCCACUUAGUUCACGAGUUUUUUGAAACAGUUGGUGUCUAAGUAACUUCAUCCUUGGCAGAAAUAGCUUCCUGUUUUAAAAGAAAAUAACUUAAAAGGUCGUAUAAGGAAGGCUCAUAAGGCUUCUUGGAAACCAAACAGUUCUUACAAAACAUUUUGAUGUGUUUAGUACAGAGGAAUUAGGAACAUAUGGGUUACAUUUUCCUUAAAAUGCACAUGGUUUUUAAAAAUUAAGGGAUAAUGUUCUUGGCAAAAUAGGUUUUGCCAAACCCAAACUGUUUAAAGAAUUGUUCAAGAUGUUCAGUCAGGCCAAAAGGCCCCAGGCUUCCACAGUCCUAAUAAUAGAAUCAAUCAGGAAAACCAGAAUGAAGUCACUGAACUCAUUUUAAGAGUCUCUUGAAAUAACCAACCAAAAUAAAUCUCAAUGUCGUAACAAUCACAAGCAAUUAGAAUAUAAUAACUUUUAUGCUCACGUCGAAUAAAACCCCAAGCUAGUAGUUAAAAUCGUUCUAGGAAUUCUGGAAAGUUGGCAGUGUAUUUUGUUUGACUAAAACAAUUGAUUACAUCUAUAAAAAUGGCGAAGAGACUAGAAGGGAUUUCACAGAUAAAGUGUCUACCAGGAAUAAUUCAAGAAUUUCACCGUGGUUUCUCAACGAAUGGAGGUUGAUGUGCUUGUUUAAAACCCACACAUUCUUUGGUAAAAAGAUGUAUAUGGAGAUGAUAACCACAAACAUUUCAUUACCCUGGUACUAAGCACCACUUCUCUUAUCUGGAAAAGAGUCUAUUAAGUCACUUAGUGAUGGAUCCAGGGAUGGUGAGAUGAAAUAGACAGUGACAUCAGACCACAGGCUGUAUAUGUAUAUGGCAUGAAACAAUUGGGUAAUUGUUUCGAAAAGGAAUCCAAUCUCUGUAUGGUAGUAUUUGCUUCCCAACGCUAAUCUUUUU